rnacentral:rRNA from 1 species
AUACGGAGGGGGCUAGCGUUGUUCGGAAUUACUGGGCGUAAAGCGCGCGUAGGCGGUUUGCCAAGUCAGGCGUGAAAGCCCCGGGCUCAACCCGGGAACUGCGUUUGAAACUGGCAGGCUUGAGGCCGAGAGAGGGUAGUGGAAUUCCCAGUGUAGAGGUGAAAUUCGUAGAUAUUGGGAAGAACACCGGUUGCGAAGGCGGCCACCUGGACCGGAACUGACGCUGAGGUGCGAAAGCGUGGGGAGCAAACAGAAUUAGAUACCCCAGUAGUCC